rnacentral:rRNA from 1 species
GACGUAGGAGGCGAGCGUUGUCCGGAUUCAUUGGGCGUAAAGAGCGCGCAGGCGGCUUGGUAAGUCGGAUGUGAAAACCCGAGGCUCAACCUCGGGCGUGCAUCCGAAACUGCUCGGCUAGAGGUAGGUAGGGGAGAUCGGAAUUCCUGGUGUAGCGGUGAAAUGCGCAGAUAUCAGGAGGAACACCGGUGGCGAAGGCGGGACUCUGGGCCGAUGACUGACGCUGAGGAGCGAAAGCGUGGGGAGCAAACAGG